rnacentral:rRNA from 1 species
UACGUAGGUGGCAAGCGUUGUCCGGAUUUACUGGGUGUAAAGGGAGCGCAGGCGGCAGCGCAAGUCUGAUGUGAAAGCCCGGGGCCCAACCGCGGGACUGCAUUGGAAACUGCGCAGCUGGAGUGCCGGAGGGGUAAGCGGAAUUCCUAGUGUAGCGGUGAAAUGCGUAGAUAUAAGGAAGAACACCAGUGGCGAAGGCGGAUGACUGGACGGCAACUGACGGUGAGGCGCGAAAGCGUGGGGAGCAAACAGG